GUUGAGAAUUGAGAUGAUUGGGAAAAUGUCCAUAUUCCCUAAUUUUUGUCAGUAGAGUUUGUAUAAACUAACUUUUCGAAUAAUGCAGUGAGCCAAUAGCACAGAGGGAAAAGUAAGCUUGUAGUGUAGUUUUUAUCAAAUACACGUAUAGGUCUGUGAAAUUCUUGAAGAGAAUGCAUUGACAUCAAAGAGUGUAAAUGGUGAAUGUGAACCCUGGGUUGUUGCUUCUAGGUUACGGGAUCACCUGCUUUUACCAAGAGAGAGGAAGGACCCUUUAUUAUGGAAAAAGGUAACUUUGAAGUUAUCUCGGGUAUUGCGGCUUGAUUAUCCUUUACUGUUGCAAUAAUAAUUAAUCAAAUAGUAAAAUAUAUAUUAGUUGUUCUAUUAGUUUUGCUUUUGACUAUGUUUAGCUCAAAAUUUACCAGACUGCUAGGUAAAAAUGGAAACAGGUUAAUAGAUUUAAGGUUGCUACAAGAAAUCUUACGAGCAAAAGAUAAAUACUUGAAAACCCAUACAACUUCAUUAGUAGUAAUAAAAGCUUAAUUUUCUAUUAUGAUAAUCAAACUUUCAUAUUCUUGCAAAUACAAUGGAGGCUCUAUUUAUCAACAACUGACCCUUAAAAUCUUAAUAAUGAAUGUAAAUAUGCAUAUAUAAACCAACUCUAUCUGUUUUUUAACUAGCCAUCAACUCUAUAUUGAGUUGUUAGAAAACAGAACUCUUCUUGCUUCUAUUUCUUCAAUAUUUUUUCGUUAAAUAUGCACUUUUAUUUCCUCUUAUAUCAUGAUUAUCCAAACAACACUCAAGUGAAAGUAAAUCUUCUAUGAGAGAACCUCGAAUGGAUUGUUCGUUAUAAAAAAUAAUGAGCAACCAACAAUGUUUGAGCAGCAGAAGGAGCUGGUUCCAACAACAUAGUGAACCAUUGUUCAAAUAUGUAGGAGAGGCACCAAAUUUAGAGUACUGAAUUCAUCAAACAUAUUGACUCAAUAAGAGGUGACAUGUGAGCUAACAAAAGUUAACAUAAAGCAACUGCUCAAAUGUGAAACAAGGAAGCACCAAAAUUACCAACUUCAUUAAAUUAAGCUUUAAUAUUCAAUUAUACAAAUUCAAACACAAAUAGUAUUAGUAUUCCCCUAUAGAGAGCCGUGUUCAAUUUGUAAAGUAUAGUUCUAUUAGAUGUAUAUAAAUUAUCAAAUUGAUACUUGCACAUGACUAUAGGAGGUAUGCAAUCUGAACCAUCUAUGAAAUUCAGAUUCUUACUCAUUUUAGGUUGGUAUUUAUUGAUAGUAAAAUAGUAUAUAUUUAAAAAUGUAUAUGUACCCAAUUCGACGGACUUGAAUUGCGUACUGUGACCUGAAUCGCCUACUGUAGCAAACUCAGUUUGACACAAUAGGCGAUCUAAGUUUAUUUUAAAACAACAUCCUAUUGUAAUAGCAUGAUAUCCAAAUCCAAAUUAGACUCAAUUUGCUCUCACAACUUCCAAUAGGUACAUAAUAUUACUAAUACUUAACUUCUUGCCUUUAUAUUUAUUUCAAAUUUUUUGUCAUUUCACCUUUUUACUUUUCUAUCAAAAUAAUUUGUGUUUUAGAAAUUGAAGAUAUAAUUGCCAUUUUAAUUAAUUAAAGGGUGAUUAGGAAAUAAUUACAAUAAAUAUGAUAGAUAGUAAUUAAUUAAAGGGUGAUUAGGAAAUAAUUAUAAGGAUUUGAGGUAGUUAGAUAGAUUGAGCUAUUGGAAAUAAAUUGUCUUUACUCUUUUUCUACAAUAACGACUGAGUUUAAUGGGUUAGAACCUUUUUUCCAUAGAGUUAGAACUGAUACUUGCUUAUUAUGUUUUCACUUAUUUGCAAAACUGUCAACACAUGCCAACUUUGAAAGACAUGGUGCGACGCAACUUUGAAAAACGGAGUGCAGCUAAGAUGUCGCAACUAAUGCAAGAUGCGCGUAAAGAUUUGGAAAAUAAGCCUACUUGGAUGGGAGAGAGAAUGUGGGAACAAUUGAAGGCAAUUUGGAAUUCCUCUAAUUUCCAAAAAAAAAUCUGAAAUAAAUAAAAGAAAUCGCAAUUCUAUGGAUGGUGCAUCUCUUCACACUGGCGGAUCAAUUCCUCAUCGGGUGCUAUGGAAAAGAAUGGUGUUAUUACUUUUCUAUUUUAUAUUUAAAUAUUAAUGAAAUUAAGAUAUACUUUUUUUUUUACAGAAAGAGACGAAAGGAGAAGACCCAACAUUUAGUGACUUUUAUUUUCAUACUCAUCGUACUAAAGAUAAAAACUGGGUUGGUAUUCAUGCUGAUGCCUUCCGAUUCAGAGGUUGAUGCUUUGAGAAGUCAAGUUCAUGCUUUGAAUGAAUCCUUGCAAAAACAAGAGCAAGAAAAGUUGUUGAUGAAGCAACAGUUGCAACGACAAGAAAAAGAGAUGGUCGAGACCAACAAAAAUUUAACAUUUCUUAUGCAACAUUUAGGAUUUGUUGGAUCUUGUCGUCCAAGCUCAUCACCACAACUCAACGAUGAAACUGAUGAAGAUAGUGAGGAUGUUGGUAGUGAUUAUAUUGAGUAGAAUUUGUUUCUAUUUUGUUAAAUUGGUUGUAUCAUGUACUUGAUUGUACUUAGUUUUUUUUUUUUUUUUGAUCAUAUUUUAAUUAAUACUUAGUUAUGAUUUGUGAACAUGAUAUAAAUUUUGUUUAGAAUUAUCACAAUAGUUGGAUCAUGCUUUAAUAAAUAUUUAGUUUUGAUUUGAAAA